rnacentral:lncRNA from 1 species
GUUGUCAACCUAAAAAUGAGCGUCUUUAACCUCUACUAAUUGAAAUCAAUGAGAUAAAAUUAUGUUUUAACAGUGUAAUUAAUAAAUUACUAAUUAUUAAUAUUAGUUGAAAUACACAAUGUUUAUAACUUAAUAGAAGAAUCCAACCCAACUUAUUGAAUAAUAACUAGAGGUUGGAAACAAGGACGGUAGAAUAAGAGGACUGCUACAUCUGGAAAACAAGUGCAUAGUUUGACGACUCGUUCGUGACGUCAGAUAUGAGGAGUUUUUAUUUUGUAAGCUUGAAAUUUGUCAUGACGCCACGACACGACGCGACGUCGCGCCGAAUCGCCAAUGCACCGGUUUUACGUUUCUACAUGCCACAUUUGGCAUCUUAUCUGGACAAACACUUAUUUAUUUCUACAUAAAACUCUUAAAAAAAGUUUUUAUGUCGUUUACUGGUCCCAGGGAAUUUGUUCCGGAUUUCCCAGUCUGUGAUUGGGCCACAAAACACCCGCAUAUUUGUCAAUCGAUUUAGAGAAAAUAGUGAAUAUUUCAAAAAUUAUUCAAUUAUGUCACUAAAAAAAAGUACUAAUUAUUGGAAAAAUAAUUUAAAGCGAAUUAAAUGUUACAUGGAUUCAAUUCACUGGAAACUGGCAUUAUGGUAGCAUUUUGGAGCUAGAUGUUAGAAAUUAUAGAUAAAACUAAUACAUAUCUCAAAAAGUUGAUAUUACACUUGAAACCAUUCUUAGAUUAUACGAUUCUUUACAAAAGUUUGUACAGUCAAAACGAAAUGCAGAGUCAUUUCAGUUUUACAAAUCUGAAGGGAUUUAAUUGUCUCAAUAAUAAAUUCAUAUACAUAUUUAUAUAAUAAAUAGGGCAACCAAAACUAUUCUCCAAAAAUACUAGUUUUUAGUGCUUAAUAUAUAUUCUAUGAAAAUCAAAAUAUAUUUUUAAGUAUGAAAGUAUGCUCAAUAAAAAACUGGAAUUAAAUAUUAAAAUAUCUUUUAAAUCUGUAGGUGAGGUUAAACAAAGUAAUUGAAAAAUGAUAUCUACUUCUAUACACGAGAUGUUUAUUAGUUCGACUUAUAAAAACUAAAAAAGAAUAAGAAAAUAUUGAAGAAAACACAAAAGACAAA